rnacentral:misc_RNA from 1 species
GAUGAAGAACGCAGCGAAAUGCGAUAAGUAAUGUGAAUUGCAGAAUUCUGUGAAUCAUCGAAUCUUUGAACGCACAUUGCGCCCGCCAGUAUUCUGGCGGGCAUGCCUGUCUGAGCGUCAUUUCAACCCUCAAGCAACUUCUGCUUGGUGUUGGGGAUCGGCCGUUAAACGCCGCCCCCGAAAUCUAUUGGCGAUCUCGCUGUAGCUUCCUAUGCGUAGUAGUAACAUCUCGCAUCUGGAGAGCGGCGCGGUCAUGCCGUAAAACACCCAACUUCUCAGGUUGACCUCAGAUCAGGUAGGAAUACCCGCUGAACUUAAGCAUAUCAAUAAGCGGAGGA